CCUACUGCAGUCGACGGGCAGGCUUCGGCCUGUCAGUGGCGAACGGGUGCGUAACACGUGAGCAACCUGCCUGUCGGUGGGGGAUAACCCGGGGAAACCCGGGCUAAUACCGCAUACGUUCUUUGGGUGGAGUCACCUGGAGAGGAAAGCCCCUGCAAGGGGGCGCCGGUAGAGGGGCUCGCGGCGUAUCAGCUAGCUGGUGAGGUAACGGCUCACCAGGGCGACGACGCGUAGCCGAUCUGAGAGGAUGAUCGGCCACAUUGGGACUGAGAUACGGCCCAGACUCCUACGGGAGGCAGCAGUGGGGAAUCUUGCGCAAUGGGCGAAAGCCUGACGCAGCGACGCCGCGUGCGGGAGGAAGCUCUUCGGGGUGUAAACCGCUGUCAGAGGGGAAGAACGGGCGUGGGAGGCAAUGCCCACGUUUUGACGGUACCCUCAGAGGAAGCACCGGCUAACUCUGUGCCAGCAGCCGCGGUAAUACAGAGGGUGCGAGCGUUGUUCGGAAUUACUGGGCGUAAAGCGCGCGCAGGCGGCCUUUUAAGUCUGACGGUGAAAUGCCGGGGCUCAACCCCGUGCCCGCCGCGGAUACUGGGAGGCUGGAGACGAGUAGAGGCAAGCGGAAUUCCGGGUGUAGCGGUGGAAUGCGUAGAGAUCCGGAAGAACACCGGAGGCGAAGGCGGCUUGCUGGGCUCGGUCUGACGCUGAGGCGCGAAAGCGUGGGGAGCGAACAGGAUUAGAUACCCUGGUAGUCCACGCCGUAAACGAUGGGCACUAGACGCUGGUGGGAUCGACCCCUUCAGUGUCGCAGCUAACGCGAUAAGUGCCCCGCCUGGGGAGUACGGCCGCAAGGC
rnacentral:rRNA from 1 species